AUUGAACGCUAGCGGCAGGCCUAACACAUGCAAGUCGAGCGAGCGGCGGACGGGUGAGUAAUGUAUGGGGACUGCCCGAUAGAGGGGGAUAACUACUGGAAACGGUAGCUAAUACCGCAUACUAUCGGAUAACCCAUAUGGGAUUAGCUAGUAGGUGAGGUAAUGGCUCACCUAGGCGACGAUCCCUAGCUGGUCUGAGCGGCUGAUCAGCCACACGCGGACUGAGACACGGUCCAGACUCCUACGGAGGCAGCAGUGGGGAAUAUUGCACAAUGGGCGCAAGCCUGAUGCAGCCAUGCCGCGUGUAUGAAGAAGGCCCUAGGGUUGUAAAUUACUUUCAGUCGGGAGGCGUUACCGACAGAAGAAGCACCGGCUAACUCCGUGCCAGCAGCCGCGGUAAUUC
rnacentral:rRNA from 1 species